rnacentral:rRNA from 2 species
GGGUUUCCGCCCUUCAGUGCUGCAGCUAACGCAUUAAGCAUUCCGCCUGGGGAGUACGGCCGCAAGGCUGAAACUCAAAGGAAUUGACGGGGGCCCGCACAAGCGGUGGAGCAUGUGGUUUAAUUCGAAGCUACGCGAAGAACCUUACCAGGUCUUGACAUACUAUGCAAAUCUAAGAGAUUAGACGUUCCCUUCGGGGACAUGGAUACAGGUGGUGCAUGGUUGUCGUCAGCUCGUGUCGUGAGAUGUUGGGUUAAGUCCCGCAACGAGCGCAACCCUUAUUAUCAGUUGCCAGCAUUAAGUUGGGCACUCUGGUGAGACUGCCGGUGACAAACCGGAGGAAGGUGGGGAUGACGUCAAAUCAUCAUGCCCCUUAUGACCUGGGCUACACACGUGCUACAAUGGAUGGUACAACGAGUUGCGAACUCGCGAGAGUAAGCUAAUCUCUUAAAGCCAUUCUCAGUUCGGAUUGUAGGCUGCAACUCGCCUACAUGAAGUCGGAAUCGCUAGUAAUCGCGGAUCAGCAUGCCGCGGUGAAUACGUUCCCGGGCCUUGUACACACCGCCCGUCACACCAUGAGAGUUUGUAACACCCAAAGUCGGUGGGGUAACCUUUUAGGAACCAGCCGCCUAAGGUGGGACAGAUGAUUAGGGUGAAGUCGUAACAAGGUAGCCGUAGGAGAACCUGCGGCUGGAUCACCUCCUUUCUAAGGAA